UGGGGAAUCUUCCGCAAUGGACGAAAGUCUGACGGAGCAACGCCGCGUGAGUGAAGACGGCCUUCGGGUUGUAAAGCUCUGUGAUCCGGGACGAAAGAGCCUGAGGUAAAUAGCCUAAGGAAGUGACGGUACCGGAAAAGCAAGCCACGGCUAACUACGUGCCAGCAGCCGCGGUAAUACGUAGGAGGCAAGCGUUGUCCGGAAUUAUUGGGCGUAAAGCGCGCGCAGGCGGCUUCCUAAGUCCAUCUUAAAAGUGCGGGGCUUAACCCCGUGAUGGGAUGGAAACUGGGAAGCUGGAGUAUCGGAGAGGAAAGUGGAAUUCCUAGUGUAGCGGUGAAAUGCGUAGAGAUUAGGAAGAACACCGGUGGCGAAGGCGACUUUCUGGACGAAAACUGACGCUGAGGCGCGAAAGCGUGGGGAGCAAACAGG
rnacentral:rRNA from 1 species